rnacentral:lncRNA from 1 species
CGAAACCUAGACUAUACCUAUAUAAACACAAAAAAACGCCUAAAGGUGGGGGGGAUCAGAUCUAAACCGUGUCGAGGGAACUACACAAAAAUCGGCAGAAAAUGCAGCCGGCACACUCCAUCUUCAACGAUGCCCGAACCCAUCUGAAAAAAUGAGCAUCAAAAACCAUUGCGUCCAUGGUAGUUCUUCCUCAAAGCAGCGUGCAAUUGAGUUGGAGUCGAGUUGAGUUUGCCGACGAGUUUUCCAAUCGCGGGACACUAAAUCUUUGGCAAAAGAUCGAGCACCGCGAAAGAACAGUGAAGAAUAUUACUGGUAUCAUCAAGUUAUUCGUUGUAUUAAUUUAGUUAAUUUUAAAUGAUAUUUAAUUCUGUUUGUGCAAUUGGAGUGUUUACUGUAUGCAUCGGAUCUAUUUGUCGUCUUCUUCUUCUUUGUAUUCUGCUUAUGAAUUAUGUUUUAUUUUAAAUGAUAUUUUAUUCUGUUUUGUACAAUUCGAGUGUUUACUGUAUGCUUCGGAUCUAUUUGUCGUCUUCUUCUUCGUAUUCUGCUUAUAAAUUAUGUUUGUUCUCUUCCUUUGGUUUUUCAUUUCAAUUGUAUUACUUAGGCCUUACUUAAAUAACAAAUUAUGCUUUGAGAACUAGCAGACUUCUUUUGAGAGUAAUAACGAGAUUGGAAAACUCUUGUUUUUUUAGUAAAAUAUCGGUAAAACCACUUCCAAUAAACUUGUU